UAGCACGCGCGUGAGCAUAUUAACCCUAACACUCAAACGCCCUAAAUUAACUCUACCAUUUCUUGGUGAUAACAGACAAGAGAAUUAAUAUAUAUACACGAACUCAUGCAUCUUCCUCUUCUUGGCUUCAGGUAUUUUGCGUGCUCUAAAUUCUCGUUCUAGUCGUAUAUUUCCAGAACAGAUGUUGACGCAAGGACAAACAAGAAUUUAAUUUCGUGUGAGAGUUGUGGCAGAUCGACGUUAGUUCCAGAGCGGCGUGUCGCAGAUUCACAAGGCCACCACCCACCCCGCUGAACCCAGUACGUACGCUGUGUUACGCCGAGAACAAUAAAUUUAUUUGCCAAUUUCUUACGCUAAACUCAUCUCUUUUCUCUCUUACGUACCUCAACUCCUCUGCCUCUGCAAAUCUGGUAAAGUUCGUCAUUCUCGAAAAAAAAAAAAGAGGAGGGCCCGAGUUCGUAAUUAAAUGCAUGUAAAAGCUUAGAAUAGAAUCAUAGAUCUAGACCUAGCUUAGCUAGCUAGCUACUGCUUCUGCCUCUCUCUCUCUCUCUCUCUCUGUAUAGCUUAGCUGUUGUGUAAGUAAACAUGUACUCUGUUUUGGAAUCACAAUGCUCGAUCAGAUCAGUCAGUACUAAUAUGCAGCAGCAGCAGCAAAGACAAGAAAAGAUCGAUGCUUUCAGAUUCUCUCGUAAAUAUGAAACGGAUUCAAUGCCUGCAAUUGCUAGUUUCAUUUUCAUGAGGAGGGAUCAGACACGAGACAUGUCAUGUGUGGUGUUAUCCGUUAUGAUUGAGAACACUUCCUAAGUUGGGAGGAUUGCAAACUUUUUCAUGUCAAGUUGUCAAAGACUAGAAUAUCAUUUUUUUGGCCUUUUA